CCUGGGAUAACACUGACGUUCAUGCCCGAAAGCGUGGGUAGCAAACAGGAUUAGAUACCCUGGUAGUCCACGCCCUAAACGAUGUCGAUUAGCUGUUGGGCAGCUUGACUGCUUAGUAGCGAAGCUAACGCGUGAAAUCGACCGCCUGGGGAGUACGGUCGCAAGAUUAAAACUCAAAGGAAUUGACGGGGACCCGCACAGGCGGUGGAUGAUGUGGAUUAAUUCGAUGCAACGCGAAGAACCUUACCUGGUCUUGACAUGUACGGAACCCUCCAGAGACGGAGGGGUGCCUUCGGGAGCCGUAACACAGGUGCUGCAUGGCUGUCGUCAGCUCGUGUCGCGAGAUGUUGGGUUAAGUCCCGCAACGAGCGCAACCCUUGUCAUUAGUUGCCAUCAUUAAGUUGGGCACUCUAAUGAGACUGCCGGUGACAAGCCGGAGGAAGAUGGGGAUGACGUCAAGUCCUCAUGGCCCUUAUGACCAGGGCUUCACACGUCAUACAAUGGUCGGUACAGAGGGUAGCCAAGCCGCGAGGUGGAGCCAAUCUCACAAAACCGAUCGUAGUCCGGAUUGCACUCUGCAACUCGAGUGCAUGAAGUCGGAAUCGCUAGUAAUCGCAGGUCAGCAUACUGCGGUGAAUACGUUCCCGGGUCUUGUACACACCGCCCGUUACACCAUGGGAGUGGGGGAUACCAGAAGUAGGUAGGGUAACCGCAAGGAGCCCGC
rnacentral:rRNA from 1 species